rnacentral:rRNA from 1 species
AUUGAACGCUGGCGGAAUGCUUUACACAUGCAAGUCGAACGGCAGCACGGACUUCGGUCUGGUGGCGAGUGGCGAACGUGUGAGUAAUGUAUCGGAACGUGCCCAGUCGCGGGGGAUAACGUAGUGAAAAUUACGCUAAUACCGCAAACGAUUUAUGGAUGAAAGCGGGGGAUCGUAAGACCCUGCGGGAUGGGAGCGGCUGCUAUCAGAUUAGGUAGUUGGUGGGGUAAAGGCCCGCCACGCCAACGAUCUGUAGCUGGUCUGAGAGGACGACCAGCCACACUAGUACUGAGACACGGUCCAGACUCCUACGGGAGGCAGCAGUGGGGAAUUUUGGACAAUGGGCGAAAGCCUGAUCCAGCCAUUCCGCGUGCAGGAUGAUGGCCCUCGGGUUGUAAACUGCUUUUGUACAGAACGAAAAGGUUUCUACGAAUACUAGGAGCUCAUGACGGUACUGUAAGAAUAAGCACCGGCUAACUACGUGCCAGCAGCCGCAGUAA